AUUGAACGCUGGCGGCAUGCUUUACACAUGCAAGUCGAACGGUAACAGGUUAAGCUGACAAGUGGCGAACGGGUGAGUAAUGCAUCGGAACGUGCCCGGUCGUGGGGGAUAACGCAGCGAAAGCUGCGCUAAUACCGCAUACGAUCUGAGGAUGAAAGCGGGGGACCGUACGGCCUCGCGCGAUCGGAGCGGCCGAUGUCAGAUUAGGUAGUUGGUGGGGUAAAGGCUCACCAAGCCAACGAUCUGCAGCUGGUCUGGGAGGACGACCAGCCACACUGGGACUGAGACACGGCCCAGACUCCUACGGGAGGCAGCAGUGGGGAAUUUUGGACAAUGGGCGAAAGCCUGAUCCAGCAAUGCCGCGUGCAGGAAGAAGGCCUUCGGGUUGUAAACUGCUUUUGUACGGAGCGAAAAGGUCUCCUCUAAUACAGGGGGCUCAUGACGGUACCGUAAGAAUAAGCACCGGCUAACUACGUGCCAGCCGCCGCGGUAA
rnacentral:rRNA from 1 species